UGCAAUUUUUAUAAUUUCUUUUUUGAACCAUGAAUUAUUUAGAAGUAUUUUUAAAUCCUAAUUUUUUUGGUCACAUUUUGGUCAGAGAACAUGUUCUAUAUGAUGUAGAUGUUUUUUGAGACUUUUUUGGUGGCUUAGUCCAUUAUGAAUUUUGUAAAUGUUCUAUGUGUGAUUGAAAAAAAUGUGACUUUUCUAACUACUGUUUGUUCUAUAUGUGGCCAUUGAAUCAAUUAUUGAGAAACAUAAGUUAAAAUUCCUUACUAAAAUUGUGGACUUCUAGGUUCUUUCCAGUAAAUCUACCCUUUGUUGUUGUUGUUUUGAGGCUAUGUUGCUAGGUGCAUAAAGGUUCAAAAUUGUUCUAUCUUCCUGGUGAAUUGUCCUUUUCAUUAUAAAGCAAUAACCCUUUUUAUCCCUAAUAAUUCCUCCCUUUUACCACUUAAAAUGAUUUUUUUUGGUAGUUAUAUGUUUAUAUUAAGUUUUGCUGUUGUGAUUGUUAAUAUUUUUCAGAUAUUUCCCCCACUUUUUUACUUUUAAUUUUUGUUGUUCUUGUUUUGUUUUGUUUUUAGAGAUGGGGUCUUGCUUUGGUACACAGGCUAGAGUGCAGUGAUCAUGACCAUAGCUCACUACAGCCUCAAACUCUUGGGCUCUAGCAAUCAUCUCUCCUCAGCCUCCCAAAGAGCUGGGACUACAGGCAUGCACCGAAGCUUUAUUUUCAAAAUAUAAUUUCAGAAGCCAUGGUGACUUUGUCUAGAAGUAAGUGUGGAGGAGGCGAGAUUUUGUGUCUACAUGAGCUUCCUGCACAGGUGAACACAUCCUCGUUGUUGGAAUCUCUCCAUGGCAGAUGCAGGAAUUUUUACUUAGACUUCCUUCCACACAGCACAUCAAUAAAUAUGGAAAUGAAGACUUCAAAUCUCACUUCUGAUGAAACAAUAUGCUGUCUAAAUUCAGUUAAUUGUAAGGUACUUAGUGUUGAAAGACAAAGAUAUGCUAAUCUUAUUAAAAUAUGCCUGGUGAAAUUCAGCUGUAAAUUCCAUUCAGGGACUCCUGCGUUCUACAUUGAUCCACGUCACAAUGUCUGGAAAGAAAACCACCCACCGUGCAGGAUGCAGAGUUAGUAAAUUAGAAAGGUGAAAAGUUUAAUGAAGAGUCUAUCUUCUGGAGAAGAAGUACAACAAGGCGGAAUGCUUAAUAUUUUUUUUUGUUUGUUUAGAUUAAACCAACUGAGAGCUCUUUACAUUGUUUACAUUUAUGUUACUCAGUAAGAAAAGCUUUUAACAUUUUCUCUGUUUCAUGUGAAUUGAAGUUGUUUUUAACUAUAUACGAGGGAGGGAAAGAGUCUUCACUAAAGAUGCAGCUCAAGCCUGUUUAGACAGACUCAACCAAUUUUUAAUUUUCUAGGGAGUUAAGGAGUGUGGCAUUUUGAAUUUGUGGUUAAGGGCCUGACUAGAGAUUUUGAUACCAAAGGUUUCGAUCCUGACAUCUUUUGUUCAUGUUGCUAUGUAACUUUGUGCAUUUUUUUUUCCAGGCAGGGUCUCACUCUUUCACCCAGGCUGGAGUGCAGUGGCAUGAUCAUGGCUCACUGCAGCCUCAAACUCUCAGGCUUUGAGCUUCUGAAGACCUUUGUUUCUUUAUAUGUAAUCUGGGGUAAACCCAUGUUGUAUUUUUAAAAGAACAUUUAUUUUUAUUUAUUCUUAUAGACUAAAAUAUCUAUUCUUUAUAGAAUAUUUAUAAGCAUUCAUAUAUAACAUUAUACAAUUUCAAUAAAUAUAUAUAUAUUUAUUUACACACACACACACCCCCCCCACAAUCGUUCAUAAUCCAGCCACUCAGAGAUAACCUCUAUUCCAUUUAUGUUGGACUCCCAGCCACUUAGCCAUCCAUCCGUGCACAUCUGUACAUGUGCAUGAAUCUAACCACCCAUUAAUGAAGACUAGAUUACACAGCACCUAUUUUUUUUUAUAACCUGGUAUAUCCAAUUAAUAUAUGGUGAGUAUCUUCCCACAUUAUUAUAUAUUCUUCCAUAUAAUGGCAAUAAUUUUAUUUUUGAAAAAUCCCCCAUAAUUUAUUGAACCAGGACCAUAUUGUUAGGCAUUUGGUUUGUUCUCUUUUUGUUAGUCAUUGUAAACAAUGCUGCAGCGAAAUCUCUAUGUGUUAUAUCCUUAGGCACAUCUGUGAUUAUUUGCUUAGUCUGAUUUAAACUGGUUGUGAUAACGUGUUUUAAAGAAGUGUGUAUAUAUCUCAUUAUGGAUUAGUGUUUAUGGCACUGUAAUAAAGAUACUUCCAAUACAACU
rnacentral:lncRNA from 1 species